CUCAGCUCCGACAGCCAGAACCGAGAUACAGUAUGCUCUGCUGUCGGCGUUGUUGCUAUCGAGUGUACUUAAAUCCAAUUGACAAUUUGAAAUUAAAAUGCCAAAAAGUACAGCACACACGACCACAAACCGAAGCGAGCCAGCGAGCAACAGCAGAUACGUACAUAGAUACUUGGGGGUGUGCAGAUACAUAUGCAAAGGUACUCCCUCUAGACAGCGCUGGCAGGGAAGCUGAGUGUAUAAUGAAAUGCAACGCUGCACACUGCACACGCAGCACAUCUGGGAGUGGGUUCAUCUAGGGGCGUGGGUGUGUGAGCCCGGCAGGAAUAGAAAUUGCAAUGUCAGCAAUUGGCAGCAGCAAAAUCUAAAUAAACAUUGUCACAAAAUGCAACCAAACCCCCUUUCCACCAGUCACCAGUCACCAGUCAGCAUCGGCAGCACCAGUGGAGCGAAAAGGGUUGGCCCCCAUUCCCCUCUGAACGGGGUUGUCAAUAAAAUUGCCAACAGCUACACGACUGGAGGGUCCUUCCUGGACGUAUGUAUCUGUGUGUCCUGCCAAUAGAAGAGUGUUAGAUGCAAACUGGAAUGGGGAUAGGGAGGUUGAGAAGGAGAGCUGUAAAGGGCAGGAGGGAAGCGAAGGACUCGAAGGUGACAAAUUCUGGAUCAAAUUUAAGUUUACAAAAUAGUAGAAAAAGCGUAUAUAUAAGAAAACUGAACAAAUAUUGAAUAUUGUAAGUCUAUUAUUUGGUCAAUUUAUAGAAGAGAAUCAAAUCUUUGUCAUCACCAAAAAAUAUACCUUUCUAUAUACAGGAUUGAAAUCGAAAUUUUCUAGUGGAAUCGAUACAGAGAUUUGCAAGAAAACUUAGAUUUUUGUGUGACCUCGCAUAGAGCUAAGCCUAGUUUCCGGUGUAUAAAAUCAAGCUAAAUAUAGAAGUGUUCAUCUAUCUAUCCUAUAUAACAAAGAUCAGCAAA